rnacentral:rRNA from 1 species
AGACCCGAAACCCGGUGAUCUAGCCAUGGGCAGGUUGAAGGUUGGGUAACACUAACUGGAGGACCGAACCGACUAAUGUUGAAAAAUUAGCGGAUGACCUGUGGCUGGGGGUGAAAGGCCAAUCAAACCGGGAGAUAGCUGGUUCUCCCCGAAAGCUAUUUAGGUAGCGCCUCGUGAAUUCAUCUCCGGGGGUAGAGCACUGUUUCGGCUAGGGGGCCAUCCCGGCUUACCAACCCGAUGCAAACUGCGAAUACCGGAGAAUGUUAUCACGGGAGACACACGGCGGGUGCUAACGUCCGUCGUGAAGAGGGAAACAACCCAGACCGCCAGCUAAGGUCCCAAAGUCAUGGUUAAGUGGGAAACGAUGUGGGAAGGCCCAGACAGCCAGGAUGUUGGCUUAGAAGCAGCCAUCAUUUAAAGAAAGCGUAAUAGCUCACUGGUCGAGUCGGCCUGCGCGGAAGAUGUAACGGGGCUAAACCAUGCACCGAAGCUGCGGCAGCGACGUU